rnacentral:rRNA from 1 species
UACGUAGGGUGCAAGCGUUAAUCGGAAUUACUGGGCGUAAAGCGUGCGCAGGCGGCUAUGCAAGACAGAUGUGAAAUCCCCGGGCUACAACCUGGGAACUGCAUUUGUGACUGCAUGGCUAGAGUACGGUAGAGGGGGAUGGAAUUCCGCGUGUAGCAGUGAAAUGCGUAGAUAUGCGGAGGAACACCGAUGGCGAAGGCAAUCCCCCUGGACCUGUACUGACGCUCAUGCACGAAAGCGUGGGGAGCAAACAGG